rnacentral:rRNA from 1 species
UCGAGGAUCUUUAGCAAUGGGCGAAAGCCUGACUAUGCGACGCCGCGUGAGGGAUGAAGGUUUUCGGAUCGUAAACCUCUUUCGAUGGGAAAGAAACCCCGCUAUGAAUAAUGGCGGGCUGACGGUACCCAGAGAAGAAGCCACGGCCAACUCCGUGCCAGCAGCCGCGGUAAUACGGGGGUGGCGAGCGUUACUCGGAUUUAUUGGGUGUAAAGGGCAGGUAGGUGUCCCUGUAAGUCAGAAGUGAAAUCCUAAGGCUCAACCUUAGAACUGCUUUUGAAACCGCAGGGAUUGAGGCUGGAAGAGGAGAGCGGAAUUCCCGGUGUAAGGGUGAAAUCUGUAGAUAUCGGGAGGAACACCAGUGGCGAAAGCGGCUCUCUGGUCUAGCCCUGACGCUGAG